GUUUUUUCUCCUUUUUUGUAACUUCACUUGGUUAUUUUUAUUGUAAAUGAGUAAAAAAAAAAUCUUAAUUUAAGAGAACGUAUGUGAUAUUUAUUUCAUUAAUUUUGUUUCCUUGUUUACGUUUAUUAAAAGUUUGCGUGAUUGCUGUUUGCUCCUGAGGUUGUGUGUCAGAGCUGUAGAAGGCUUUCUUUUUUUUUUUUUUUAAUUUCUUUUUUGAGGAUCCUUAUUUAGAUGUGUCUGUAGAAUGUAUAAACAAUGGUUUGUCAUAGACCGUCCAAACCUUCGUUCCUCUUUUCGUUGAUCUAGAUCAGACUUCAGUGACAAAGAAUCCGAGUCAAUAAAUUAACCAAAAAGUAUUUUUUUUUUUUUCCUUUUUCAUUUUCUGUUUGCACGAGGUCACACUGUGAUUCCAGCCACGUGCUAAAGAAUGUAGCAAUCCCUUGUGCCCCAGUAUUAUUGUGUAGUGCCUAUGGGGUUCAUAAUCUUGACAUGCCUUAAAAUUAACCAAAUAAAGUAUUUUUCCUACAUUGCAUCUUUUUAUAAAUCCAGAUGGAACUGAAUGUAGUGUUGGAUUUUUGUUUUUUCUAGAGGGAAGUUGGAUGGACACAUUUGGAUUGUACAUAGUAGGUACAGGGGGAUGCGCACUAUGUACUUUUGACUACUUUAUCAGAAGUAAAGCUUUUUGAAUGUAACACACAGAAAAAAAAAAAUGGAGAAAAAAAAAGACGGACAAAAAGACAACCGAGAGUUGUGUUCUUUUCUUUGGGGGGGGGUCAGUUCACUACAAAUUGAGUGUGAGACUGUUAACUUUGUACUGUACAUUUUUUUGUAGUUCUCCCAAUAAAAAAAAAAAAAAAAAACAUCUUUUGAAAAAGUUUCAGACUCUGACUUCUUGUAAAUGUAUGAUGAUGUCACACACGGUCAAAGCGCUGACCAGCUAGUUUUACCCCAGUGCUGCUGAGAUGCCCCCCCCUUUCUCCGGAUGUGUAAAUGCUCUCUGCAACGGUUGUUAAAGUUCACUGCAAACAUGGAAAAGGGGUACAGAACAAACUGGAGAUGGUGUUGCGUAAUGAAUUUUCAAAAUGAAAAACUUAAGAGGCACUGGGCCGUGGGAGGAUACGAUUUCAAUCUUUAUUAUGUCGAUAUACGUGAUAUAGACUGGCACUCUCAACCCUCAGACUGCAGAAGAAGUGCCACACAAAGUUAAAGCACGAUAUCCUGCUCACUUCCAGCUCCUUGUUUUUAAUCUGGGACUAGCUUUCUUGCUUCAUACUGGCUUUGGGCCGAGGCUCUAAUCGCCGACUAUCUGCCAACGAGCUGUUUCCCCCAGUUCUUUAAGCCAGCUUUAUCCUGAUUGGCUGCCCU
ensembl:lncRNA